AGCGAACGCUGGCGGCGUGCCUAACACAUGCAAGUCGAACGUGAAAAGGGAAACCUGAGUAAAGUGGCGUACGGGUGAGUAACGCGUAGGUAAUCUACCCCAGAAUCUGGAAUAACCUGCCGAAAGGCGGGCUAAUACUGGAUAGAGCGAGGGAACUCGUAAGAGAGUUUUUCGGGAAAGGGAGCCCGCAAGGGCCUUCGUUCUGGGAUGAGCCUGCGUCUCAUUAGCUAGUUGGUAAGGUAACGGCUUACCAAGGCGAUGAUGAGUAGCUGGUCUGAGAGGAUGAUCAGCCACACUGGAACUGAAACACGGUCCAGACUCCUACGGGAGGCAGCAGUGGGGAAUCUUGCGCAAUGGACGAAAGUCUGACGCAGCCACGCCGCGUGAGCGAAGAAGGCCUUCGGGUUGUAAAGCUCUGUCGGAUGGGACGAACAUCUUCAUAGUGAAUAGCUAUGAGGACUGACGGUACCAUCAAAGGAAGCACCGGCUAACUCCGUG
rnacentral:rRNA from 1 species